rnacentral:lncRNA from 1 species
UUCUAUUAUGCCCCGAGAGUGUAAAUUUGGAACGAAUCGAUGUCAACGUUCACAGGAACCAAAACCGGAACAACGUUAGACUACUCAGUUGAGCCCUAACAGUAUAACUUUGCAACUAGAACUUUUUCUCAUUUAAUAGAACAAAGCGCAAAACCUAAUUAUAUUGUUAUAUUAUGCCCCGAGAGUGUAAACUUGGAACGAAUCGAUGUUAACGUUCACAAGAACCAGAACCGGAACAACAUUAGACUACUUUGUUGAGCCAUAACAAUAUUACUUUGUAACGAGUACUUUUUCUCAUUCUAUCGAACAAGGAGUAAAAGCUUUCUAUUAUGCCCCGAGAGUGUAAAUUUGGAACGAAACGAUGUCAACGUUCACAAGAACCAAAACCGGAACAACGUUAGACUACUCAGUUGAGCCCUAACAGUAUAACUUUGCAACUAGAACUUUUUCUCAUUUAAUAGAACAAAGCGCAAAACCUAAUUAUAUUGUUAUAUUAUGCCCCGAGAGUGUAAACUUGGAACGAAUCGAAGUUAACGUUCACAAGAACCAGAACCGGAACAACAUUAGACUACUACGUUGUGCCAUAACAGUAUUACUUUGUAACGAGUACUUUUUCUCAUUCUAUCGAACAAGGAGUAAAAGCUUUCUAUUAUGCUCCGAGAGUGAAAAUUUGGAAAGAAACGAUGUCAACGUUCACAAGAACCAAAACCGGAACAACGUUAGACUACUCAGUUGAGCCCUAACAGUAUAACUUUGCAACUAAAACUUUUUCUCAUUUAAUCAACAAAGUGCAAAACCUAAUUAUAUUGUUCUAUUAUGCCCCGAGAGUGUAAAUUUGGAACGAAUCGAUGUCAAACUUCACAAGAACCAAAACCGGAACUAAAUUAGACUACUCAGUUGCGCCAUAACAGUAUAACUUUGCAACGUGCACUUUUUCUCAUUCAAUCGAAUAAAGAGUAAAACCUAGUUAUAUUGUUCUAUUAUACCCCGAGAGUGUAAGUUUGGAACGAAUCAAUGUCAACGUUCACAAGAACCAAAACCGGCACAACAUUAGACUACUCUGUUGCGCCUUAACAGUUUAACUUUGCAACGAGUACUUUUUCUCAUUCUACCGAACAAGGUGUAAAAGCAGUCUAUUAUACCCCGAGAGUGUAAAUUUGGAACGAAGCGUUGUCAACGUUCACAAGAACCAAAACCGGAACAAUGUUAGACUACUCAGUUGAGCCAAAACAGUAUAACUUUGCAACUAGAACUUUUUCUCAUUUAAUAGAACAAAGCGCAAAACCUAAAUAUAUUGUUCUAUUAUGCCCCGAGAGUGUAAAUUUGGAACGAAUCGAUAUCAACGUUCACAAGAAUCAUAACCGGAACAACAUUAGACUACUCUAUUGCGCCAUAACAGUAUAACUUUGCAACGAGUACUUUUUCUAAUUCUAUCGAAUAAGGAGUAAAAGCUUUCUAUUAUGCCCCGAGAGUGUAAAUUUGGAACGAAUCAAUGUCAACGUUCACAAUAACCAAAACAGGAACAACGUUAGACUACUCAGUUGAGCCCUAACAGUAUAACAUUGCAACUAGUACUUUUUCUUAUUCAAUCGAACAAAGAGUAAAACCAAAUUAUAUUAUUCUAUUAUACCCCGAGAGUGUAAAUUUGGAACGAAUCGAUGUCAACGUUCACAAGAACCAAAACCGGAACAACAUUAGACUACUCUGUUGCGCUAUAACAGAAUUACUUUGCAACGAGUACUUUUUCUCAUUCUAUCGAACAAGGAGUAAAAGCUGUCUAUUAUGCCCCGAGAGUGUAAAUUUGGAACGAAACGAUGUCAACGUUCACAAGAACCAAAACCGGAACAACGUUAGACUACUUAGUUGAGCUCUAACAGAAUAACUUUGCAACUAGAACUUUUUCUCAUUUAAUCGAAC